AACAAUUUGUUAUUUAGAUUCGGCGUCUAAUCCUCAGUUUUACUCAUCUAUAUGCCAUAUUUGUAAAUGAAUAUUCUUCUUUUGUUUAUGGGAUCCAACCAAUAAUGGUUCCAUGGUGACACUGGUGUGGUGAAAUAGGAACUUUCUAUGAGUCUAAGAUUUGCUAAGAUUUGCUGACUAUGAGACCUCCACUAAGGACAGAUAUUCAAAGAAGCCCCCAGCCCUCAAGGAGUCCACAUUGUCAUGGGGCACCCAGGAAAAGGAACACUUGGAAAACAUUUUGGGACUCCAAUUUUUCCUGGUGCAUCCUGCCUUCCCAAUUAGGACCUGUCAUUUGAAGUAUACCAGGCUGCCAUUCAAGGUGACUAGACUCCUUUAACCAAGGGGCAAGUACAUGACCCAAUAUAGGCUAACUGAUUCUCCCUCUCGGGAUCUUGAAACUUAGAAGCUUAAGGACGGAAAGUGGUUGGAGGCUUCAUUCCCUUGGCUGUAUCCUGAAGAGACUAUCCAAUCUGCCUUCAUGACUGGUUCUUCUUUUCCUGGUUGUGCAAGAAGCCUGGUUAUUCAAGUGUCCUUGUGAGGUACUUCAUCCCGUAUCUUUCCAAUAAAUUCCUUUAGAAAUGUGGUUUAUGUUGCUUAAAAUGAAUGAAGCUUUGAUAUGGUAUCAUUCAAUAUGAAGAGCUCUCCCUGGCCGUCCUUAUUCUGGUCCUCCCUCCAUCCUUUCCUCGUAUAAAUUUCAUUCUAUUUUCUGUCAUUCUCUCCAUUUUUACUCUAGGGUAUGGUGAUGGCCGUUUGAGGGAGAGUCUUGGCCCAAUGGAGGCAGACCUGGGUUUUCCCUUUAUUACAUUAAUCACAUUGGGUAGGAAUUUGAAGAACUAUCAUCUGUACGAUCAUUUCGAACUAUCAUUUGAAGAACUCUCAUCUACCGCACAUAUGUUACCUCAUUUAAUUAUUAUGCAGGAGAAAAGACAAAAAUGGAAAUAACACAAGAGAGCAGCAUCAUUCUCUCCCGUCCUACUGGGCCUCUCAAGCUUUGCUCCCAGCUGUGGCAACAAGGAACGGCAUGGUAGGGCCAGGUUUUUGGGCGGCACUUCUUUACAGUUAUACAAAUAAAUUUUUAUUUCUACCUGUAACUGAUGGGAAUAUUGACCUAUUUAAAACAAUAUGCAUUAAAUAAGAGGCUUUUAUUAUUUAUUAAAAAUACAAAUCAGAGAAUAUGGUUUUAAAAAAUAUGACAAAUGGCAUUUAGAUUAUUGAGACUUGAAAUGUUCACCAUGGUUCCUGACUCACUUCUAGUAGUCAUGUAGUGGCAGACGUUGUUAACAGAAAG
rnacentral:lncRNA from 1 species